CCUCACCUGAAGCACCAGCGCUUGCCCUGUUCGUUGGCCAUGCCGCCCCCAGACAGGUCCUUCUCCACCCCGGACCGUAGCCUGCUCCUCACACACCGAGGCAGGCCCCACUCCAGGUCCAGCGUGGUGAUGCCUCUCUGCUGCCAGAUGCGGGUGUUCUCCUUGGCGGUCGCCUCCACCGUGUGACUCAUCAGGGCGAUGAGCAUGUUCAUCAGCAGGACGUAGGCUGUUGCUUCUCCCAAACCAUGGACCCAGAAGUGGGCACCAACAGCAGUGGAGCAUGUAGGCUGAGGGAUGGUCGCAAUAAAGGGGGAUUGAAAGGAUAAUACUGUAUUGAAGAACAAUAUAUAGAUAGAGAUACAUAUCAGCCGUUGUGUCUAGCAAUCACUGCAGAUAUUAGGGUGAAAAUUCUAUAGGGUGAAAAUAAAGUUGUUUUGAAGGCAUCAGUUGUUAAUGUUCUA